GGGGUUGUGGCUCAGUGGUAGAGCACUCGCCUAGCAUGUGCGAGGCCCUGGGUUUGAUCCUCAGCACCACA
rnacentral:tRNA from 1 species